UACGUAGGGUGCAAGCGUUGUCCGGAAUUAUUGGGCGUAAAGAGCUCGUAGGCGGUCUGUCGCGUCUGGUGUGAAAACUCAGGGCUUAACCCUGAGCUUGCAUCGGGUACGGGCAGACUAGAGUGCGGUAGGGGAGACUGGAAUUCCUGGUGUAGCGGUGAAAUGCGCAGAUAUCAGGAGGAACACCGGUGGCGAAGGCGGGUCUCUGGGCCUUAACUGACGCUGAGGAGCGAAAGCAUGGGGAGCGAACAGG
rnacentral:rRNA from 1 species